UACAGAGGGGGCAAGCGUUGUUCGGAAUUACUGGGCGUAAAGGGCGCGUAGGCGGCCUGCUAAGUCGAACGUGAAAUCCCCGGGCUCAACCCGGGAACUGCGUCCGAUACUGGCAGGCUUGAAUCCGGGAGAGGGAUGUGGAAUUCCAGGUGUAGCGGUGAAAUGCGUAGAUAUCUGGAGGAACACCCGAGGCGAAGGCGGCUCUCUGGGUCGGACCUGACGCUGAGGCGCGAAAGCGUGGGGAGCGAACGGG
rnacentral:rRNA from 1 species